GAUGAACGCUGGCGGCGUGCCUAAUACAUGCAAGUCGAGCGAACAGACGAGGAGCUUGCUCCUCUGACGUUAGCGGCGGACGGGUGAGUAACACGUGGAUAACCUACCUAUAAGACUGGGAUAACUUCGGGAAACCGGAGCUAAUACCGGAUAAUAUAUUGAACCGCAUGGUUCAAUAGUGAAAGACGGUUUUGCUGUCACUUAUAGAUGGAUCCGCGCCGCAUUAGCUAGUUGGUAAGGUAACGGCUUACCAAGGCAACGAUGCGUAGCCGACCUGAGAGGGUGAUCGGCCACACUGGAACUGAGACACGGUCCAGACUCCUACGGGAGGCAGCAGUAGGGAAUCUUCCGCAAUGGGCGAAAGCUUGACGGAGCAACGCCGCGUGAGUGAUGAAGGUCUUCGGAUCGUAAAACUCUGUUAUUAGGGAAGAACAAAUGUGUAAGUAACUAUGCACGUCUUGACGGUACCUAAUCAGAAAGCCACGGCUAACUAAGUG
rnacentral:rRNA from 1 species